GUGCCAGCAGCCGCGGUAAUACGUAGGGGGCGAGCGUUGCUCGGAAUUACUGGGCGUAAAGGGUGUGUAGGUGGCUGAGCAAGUCGAAGAUGAAAUCCCAGGGCUUAACCCUGGAAUUGUCUUCGAUACUGUUCAGCUUGAGGGUGGUCGAGGAAGACGGAAUUCCCGGUGGAGCGGUGAAAUGCGUAGAUAUCGGGAGGAACACCGGAGGCGAAGGCGGUCUUCUAGGCCACACCUGACACUGAGGCACGAAAGCUAGGGGAGCGAACGGGAUUAGAUACCCCGGUAGUCCUAGCCGUAAACGAUGGGCACUAGAUGUUCUCACAUUUUGUGGGAGUGUCGAAGCUAACGCGCUAAGUGCCCCGCCUGGGGAGUACGGUCGCAAGGCUGAAACUCAAAUGAAUUGACGGGG
rnacentral:rRNA from 1 species